AAACAGCCCCCUAUGUUUUGAUUCUUUGGCAUUUUUGGACCCCAAGACAAAAAUAAAAUAAAAAAAUUGACACGUGGCAUUUCACUUAGGGUGCCACCCACGUCAGCGUUGACCGGGUCAACAAUGGACUAGGGGUCCAAAACUGCCAAAGAAUCAAAACAUCGGGGGCUGUUU
rnacentral:pre_miRNA from 1 species